CCUACGGUGGGCAGCAGUGGGGAAUAUUGCACAAUGGGGGAAACCCUGAUGCAGCGACGCCGCGUGAGUGAGGAAGUAUUUCGGUAUGUAAAACUCUAUCAGCAGGGAAGAAAAUGACGGUACCUGACUAAGAAGCCCCGGCUAACUACGUGCCAGCAGCCGCGGUAAUACGUAGGGGGCAAGCGUUAUCCGGAUUUACUGGGUGUAAAGGGAGCGUAGACGGUUAAUCAAGUCAGAAGUGAAAACCCAGGGCUCAACCUUGGGAGUGCUUUUGAAACUGAGUAGCUAGAGUGCAGGAGAGGUAAGCGGAAUUCCUAGUGUAGCGGUGAAAUGCGUAGAUAUCACGAAGAACUCCGAUUGCGAAGGCAGCUUACUAAACUGCCACUGACAUUGAGGCUCGAAAGUGUGGGUAUCAAACAGGAUUAGAUACCCGUGUAGUC
rnacentral:rRNA from 1 species